rnacentral:rRNA from 1 species
ACUCAAAGGAAUUGACGGGGACUCGCACAAGCGGUGGAACAUGAGGUUUAAUUCGACAAUAAGCGAGGAACCUUACCAGGGUUUGAAAUGUACACGAAUACAUGCCGAAAGGUGUGUAGUCUCUCAAGGACGUGUGCACAGGUGCUGCAUGGUUGUCGUCAGCUCGUGCCUUGAGGUGUUCCCUUAAGUGGGGUAACGAGCGCAACCCCUAUCUGGUGUUACAAGUGUCACCGGAAACUGCCCCCGCUAAAGUUCGGGAUCAGGUCCAGAAAUAUUUUUUGGAUUGUGAUCGUGAUCUUCAGCGGGGGAGGAAGGAGGGGAUGACGUCAAAUCAGCAUGGCCCUUUGAUACCCUGGGCUACACUCGUGUUACAAUGGCGGAGACAAUGGGUAGCCAACCCGCAAGGGGGAGCCAAUCCCAUCAAACUCCGUCUCAGUUCGGAUUGGGGGCUGAAACCUGCCCCCAUGAAGCCGGAAUCGCUAGUAAUCGCGGAUCAGCCACGCCGCGGUGAAUACGUUCUCGAGUCCUGUACACACCGCCCGU